rnacentral:rRNA from 1 species
UUCCCGGUUGAUCCUGCCGGAGGGUUACUGCUAUCGGGGUCCGAUUAAGCCAUGCAAGUUGAGAGGGGUAAUGCCCUCGGCCGCAAUGCUCAGUAACACGCGGAUAACCUGCCCUUGGAUCUGGGAUAACCCUGGGAAACUGGGACUAAUACCGGAUAGAUCAAAGAUACUGGAAUGUUCAUUGGUCUAAAGCUCCGGCGUCCAAGGAUGGAUCUGCGGCUUAUCAGGUAGUAGUGGGUGUAACGUACCUACUAGCCUACGACGAGUACGGGUUGUGAGAGCAAGAGCCCGGAGAUGGAUUCUGAGACAUGAAUCCAGGCCCUACGGGGCGCAGCAGGCGCGAAAUCUUUACAAUGCAGGAAACUGCGAUAAGGGGACCCCGAGUGCCAGCAUCUAAUGCUGGCUGUCCAGCUGUGUAAAUAGCAGUUGUUAGCAAGGGCCGGGCAAGACCGGUGCCAGCCGCCGCGGUAACACCGGCGGCCCGAGUGGUAACCGAUUUUAUUGGGUUUAAAGGGUCCGUAGCCGGCCUGUUAAGUCUCUUGGGAAAUCUGGCGGCUCAAUCGUCAGACGUUCAAGAGAUACUGGCAGGCUUGGGACCGGUAGAGGUGGGAGGUACUCCAGGGGUAGAGGUGAAAUUUUGUAAUCCUUGGGGGACCAUCGAUGGCGAAGGCAUCCCACUAGAACGGGUCCGACGGUGAGGGACGAAAGCUGGGGGCACGAACCGGAUUAGAUACCCGGGUAGUCCCAGCCGUAAACGAUGCUCGCUAGGUGUCAGACGCGGUGCGACCGCGUUUGGUGCCGCAGUGAAAACUUGAAGCGAGCCACCUGGGAAGUACGGUCGCAAGGCUGAAACUUAAAGGAAUUGGCGGGGGAGCACUACAACGGGUGGAGCCUGCGGUUCAAUUGGAUUCAACGCCGGGAA